UAAACAGUUUAAAACCACGUCUGAAACGUUGCUUCUGUUUGCCAGUGCUGUGGGAAGACGUCGUUACCGAAGAGGCCACUUUACCGACAUUUUGCGUCUCUUUGUCAUUUUGUGUUUCACCCUAGCCAUUUAAAGUCAUUUAUGUUGGUUGUUUAUCAUGUCGUUGUCGUUGUUUGUGGCUGUUUGCGGUCAUUUUGUAUUAUUUUGCGUCUCCACCUGGUUGUUUUUCACCCGGGUGUUAGCAUUAGCAUUAACAUCGAGCGUUAGCAUUAGCCUUCUCUGUAAACGAUGUGUUUUGGGGUUUAUCGUCGUUUUUUAUGCGUGGGGUAAAGCGUGUUUGUGUGUCUGUGUGAGUUGUGGAGGGCUGUACGGUAGUCUGUCUGUUUACAACUCCGUUCGCAUCUUUUGCAGUUACUUUCCAGACAGUUACUGCUUCUUUGUAAUGCUAUGCUCCAUCUUGGUCAGUUUAAGUCGGUUUAUGGUGGAUUAUCAUGUCGACGUGAUCAUUUGUGUCUAUUUGCGAUAGUACUACAUCAUUUCCGUCUAUAGCUGGGUGUUUCACAUCUACUUAUGCACAGCUUCUUUGUGGUUGUUUUGCACCGUGUUGUGUCUUUGUAGUUUUGUGUCUAUUCCUGGUUAUAAAACGUUUCUUUGUGGCCAUUUUGUGUUUCAGUGUGGCAGAUUUUUUCCUCUUUGUCGUGUGUGUCGUUGUAGCUUUGUGGCACUAAUCUGUCCAUACUGUCCAGAUUUAAUUGAGGUCAGUUUUGUGUUAAAUACAAGAUUGAAAACUAGAUUUUAACUGUACUCCUCCACAAGUUUUAAGCCUCAGGAGUAGGUCACAAUGUAUGAGCUGAAAUUACUUGAGAAAUUAUUAUAAAACUAUUUUAAAAAAUGCCUUUCUCUCUGAGCCCAAUAAAGUCAUAUUCUAGUAACAUAACAAUUCAUUCACCUCAAAACUCAUAGUGUGAUUGUCAAGAUGCUAGUGUUUAGUUUUCAGUGUUGUGUUCUUCUAUACUGAUCAAGUUUCGGAGGUGAACUAUUCUUUAUUAAUGAGGUUAUUUGUUGUAUUUGUAUUUUCCAGGUUCACUGGUUCAGCUGCUGCAGCCUGGACACAAACACCAGCUCUCACCUCACAGACCAAACAGGUGUCACCACUUCGUCCACGAUCGCAGAGAGUCUUCGUACAAUGAAGAAGUUCUUUGAGACAGAGGCCUCCAGGAUUCAGACUUUAGCCAUUAAAUCACAGAGAAAGGAGACAGAUGUGAAGACAUUUCCAGAAGGUCUUCAGCUGCUGUCGUCUUCCCCUCCUGCAGAGACGAGAACACGUCUAUUUUUCCUUUCCUAAACUCUCCUUUUUCUUUUUUGAUACCUAAUUACAGUGAUUUAAACCAAACAUUUUACAACUCAAUAUCACAUAUUUUAAUGUGUUUUUCACAGUAAUGAUUAGAAACAGUUCUGAAACUCUUUAUAAAAUAAGAACCUACUGUAAUCAUCACAUAGUUAUCUGUCAGAUUUCUUAGAGAUAAACACGAACCAUGUAAUAGAUACAGGGAAACUAUUUAAACUGUUAUAAUGAACAGUACUUACAGAGGUAAACCUACGAUAGAGUUUUUAACCUUUCCUAAUAUUCCUUUUUGACCAUUUUUGCCUUACUAUACUAUGACAUUGUUUGGUGGUUUUUGACAUCUCAGUAAAAUGACAUGGUUGGACUAUGCUUUGAUGCAGUUUAAGGCACAGGAACUAUCUUACCCUUGUUUUCCACAGACGCACACAUUCAGUCACAUCUCUACACAGUGUUUGUCAGUUAGGUAAGAUUUUGUUUUUGUCAUUUCAUUUUGGUAUUUUGUUAUUUCAAAUUAUGCAAUAUCAGUAGUCCUAUCUAUUGCUGUGUACAUAGUCCUGUUUGUACUGUUUAUAUUGUUUUUAAGUUUACAUACUGUUAUAUUUGAUCUUACUUUAUGCUGCAACACUGAAUUUCUAAUUAAGGAUUAUCUUACUAUUUCUCAAAUAAAUACUCUAUUAUGAACACUGAA